AGUUUAAUGGGUGCUAUGCGAAUGCCUUUGGAGAGGAUGCGAAGAACUUGUAUUUAUAGAUUAAGAGGACGACGGGCAACUGUUGGUAAAAGGAAGGCAUUCAAAGCAAGUGACCGUUGAGUCAAAAGGCCGCGGGAAAAGCUGUUCAGAUUCGCAUUCAAGAUAGAAAUGUCAAAAGUGUCAAUGUUAUACGAGAUAUUCAAAGGCCGUUUAGGUUCAGUCUAACUAUCCAAGGAGGUUGUUUAUGGCCUCGAUUG
rnacentral:lncRNA from 1 species